rnacentral:tRNA from 1 species
GGAAGUGGAGAGGUUCUGGUGGGCCUCCUGGACUUCAAAUCCAGUGUACCGGCCUAACAAGUCGGUAGGUGGGUUCGAUUCCCACGCACUUCCGCCA